AUUGAACGCUGGCGGCAGGCCUAACACAUGCAAGUCGAGCGAGCGGCGGACGGGUGAGUAAUGCCUGGGAAUUGCCCAGUCGAGGGGGAUAACAGUUGGAAACGACUGCUAAUACCGCAUACGAUUGGAUUGCCCAGGUGGGAUUAGCUAGUUGGUGAGGUAAUGGCUCACCAAGGCGCCGAUCCCUAGCUGGUCGGAGAGGAUGAUCAGCCACACUGGAAAGGAGACACGGUCCAGACGCAUACGGGAGGCAGCAGUGGGUAAUAUUGUACAAUGGGGGAAACCCGGAUGAAGCCAUGCCGCGUGUGUGAAGAAGGACGUCGGGUUGUAAAGAACUUUCAGCGAGGAGGCGUUACGCGCAGAAGAAGCACCGGCUAACUCCGUGCCAGCAGCCGAGGUAAUUC
rnacentral:rRNA from 1 species